AACAGUUGAAAGUCGUGAACUUUGUUCACAUCACUUGCUAUCACCAGCUGUUCUUUUUGAGCUUUCAGAAACUCUGAAGAGAAUUUCUGCUUAUGAACACAUAAUCUGGAUAGAGGGUGAUUUUUACUUUGUAUUUUCCUCUUGCCAGGUUAUGUUUAGUCCUUUUCCUCUUCUCACCCCUACCCCAGUUCUUGAUGCUGUUUUGGUGACAAGAAAAGUAACUGUAUCCCCCGUCCCUGCCUAAAUCCAUGAAUAUGGUGAUAAAGCAACAGAGAGGUGGCAAAGAUCACUUAAAAGAACUUCUCUGAGUAUGUUUUAUUUUUCUUUAUUUAGUAGUUGGGAAAGAACAAAUGUAUUUAGAAAUAUGGACUAUACGUGAGUCAUUCAAGAGGAAAAUGAUCCACAUUCAUAGGACUUCUCUGUGGCCAUUUUAAAAUAUGCUAACUGUCAAUAAAACUUAGAGAAGGAGAAUAUGUGAUAUUGUUUAUGAUUUCCUUGGGAUCUGAAAUCUUUUGUAUGUGACUUAUUUUUAAAGAGAACAGGAGAAUAUUUGAAUUGGGUUGGUUAAAAAUAAAUUGAUAGUUCUUUUUGUAUUCUAUGGCAAUAUAUUGAAUAUGUGAAAAGAAAGAAGGUGUUUAACCUUGAAGAGUUAAUUUUUAUUUUUCUUUAGGAAAUACUGGCUCCAGUAGACUUUAUUUUGUGUUCUUUAUAAAUAAGCAACCCUUCAGUGGGUCUUAAUUUUGGAACUCUUGGAAGCACUGCAACUCCUGCCACGACAUCUGCUCCUUCAGGUGGUUUUGGAACCGGGCUCCUUGGAUCGAAACCUACCACUGGGUUCACUCUGGGAGGAACAAAUACAGGAACGCCAGCUACUACAUCUGCGUCUACAGCAGGUUUCAGUUUAGGAUUCAGUAAACCUGCCGCAUCUGCCACACCAUUUGCUCUCCCUAUUACUUCUACCUCAGCUAGGGGUCUUACUCUUUCCUCUGCUAUGACGUCAACUCCAGCAGGAUCUUACAGGAUUUUCUGUAAAUAAUUUGGGCGGAACAACAGCUACAACUACUACCCCAUCAACAAGCCUUUCCUUAGGGGGAGCCUUAGCUGGGAGGUUCACUUUUCCAGAGUUCAAAUACAGCCACAUCAGGAUUUGGACAGAAUGCUUUAGGCUUGACUUUGGGAACCACAGCAGCUACUUCAACUGCAGGCAAUGAAGGUCUUGGUGGUAUAGAUUUUCGUACCUCAUCGGAUAAAAAGAG